rnacentral:lncRNA from 1 species
AAGAAGAGAUAUUACAAGAUAACAGUGAGGCAGGUCAAAUCCUAUUCUGGUGGAUAUUAAUGAGAGGAAGAUUAAUUUCAGGGCCUCUCCCUCUGCUUAACUUUUACUAACACUCAAGAGGGAUAGGAACUACCCUUCUUACCCCACUUGAGUGUUCUUAGCCACUCUGGGGCUUAGGGAGAGGAUCUGAGUUAUCAUAAUUUGGUUCUAACUUCCCUGAUGUCAUAAAAGCCUCCUAAAGAGGCCUUGGUACCGACCAGCCUAUUUAACCAAGGUCCUUAAAAUUCUUCAAAUCAAGUUUUUAUAAAUUUCUUUAGAUUGACAUACAUGUUUUUCAUCUUUGAUUUUUAUAUAUAAACAGAACUUAAAAGAGCACAGGAAGUUAUAGACACUGCUUCUGAUGGGAAGAUUCAUGCUAAGGAUUUAUCACCUACCCUGGAAAAUUUUGGAAUCAAACUAACAGAUGAUAUGCUUAAGGAUACCGUGAAAUCUGUUGGAAUUGAUGGAGAUGGAACAGUGAAUGUAAAGAAUGUUGUGGAAAAACUCUUUCAGAAUGAAAAAUUACCAAAAGAUGAAAACAUAGAAAAAUCACUUAAUGCUGUUGCCAAAAUCGCUGAAGGGAAUAUCAAGAUCACUGAUCUCUCUCCUCUCUUGGAGACAUUAGAUAUUGAUUUAACUGAAGAAGAUCUUCAAAAAACAUUGAAAACUGUUGACACUAAGGGUAAGUAUUUCAGCAAUUUACAAAGAUUUAAAUUAUGUUAUAUAAGAUUAUCUAUUUAG